rnacentral:rRNA from 1 species
ACAGGGAUUGCCCUAGUAACGGCGAGUGAAGCGGCAACAGCUCAAAUUUGAAAUCUGGCGUCUUUGGCGUCCGAGUUGUAAUUUGCAGAGGGCGCUUUGGCAUUGGCAGCGGUCCAAGUUCCUUGGAACAGGACGUCACAGAGGGUGAGAAUCCCGUACGUGGUCGCUAGCCUUUACCGUGUAAAGCCCCUUCGACGAGUCGAGUUGUUUGGGAAUGCAGCUCUAAAUGGGAGGUAAAUUUCUUCUAAAGCUAAAUACUGGCCAGAGACCGAUAGCGCACAAGUAGAGUGAUCGAAAGAUGAAAAGCACUUUGGAAAGAGAGUUAAAAAGCACGUGAAAUUGUUGAAAGGGAAGCGCUUGCAGCCAGACUUGCCUGUAGUUGCUCAUCCGGGUUUCUACCCGGUGCACUCUUCUAUAGGCAGGCCAGCAUCAGUUUGGGCGGUUGGAUAAAGGUCUCUGUCAUGUACCUCCUUUCGGGGAGAACUUAUAGGGGAGACGACAUGCAACCAGCCUGGACUGAGGUCCGCGCAUCUGCUAGGAUGCUGGCGUAAUGGCUGUAAGCGGCCCGUCUUGAAACACGGACCAAGGAGUCUAACAUCUAUGCGAGUGUUUGGGUGUCAAGCCCGAGCGCGUAAUGAAAGUGAACGGAGGUGGGAACCUUUCGGGGUGCACCAUCGACCGAUCCUGAUGUCUUCGGAUGGAUUUGAGUAAGAGCAUAGCUGUUGGGACCCGAAAGAUGGUGAACUAUGCUUGAAUAGGGUGAAGCCAGAGGAAACUCUGGUGGAGGCUCGCAGCGGUUCUGACGUGCAAAUCGAUCGUCAAAUUUGGGCAUAGGGGCGAAAGACUAAUCGAAC